rnacentral:rRNA from 1 species
UAGGGAAUAUUGCAAAUGGGCGAAAGCCUGAUGUAGCAACGCCGCGUGUGCGAUGAAGGUCUUCGGAUUGUAAAGCACUUUUUGGAGGGAUGAGGAAGGACAGUACCUCCAGAAUAAGCCUCGGCUAACUACGUGCCAGCAGCCGCGGUAACACGUAGGAGGCAAACGUUAUCCGGAUUUACUGGGCGUAAAGCGCGUGUAGGUGGUUUGGUAAGUAGGGCGUGAAAGCUCCUGGCUCAACUGGGAGAGGCCGUUCUAAACUGCCGAACUAGAGGAUGGUAGAGGGAGGUGGAAUUCCGGGUGUAGCGGUGGAAUGCGCAGAUAUCCGGAGGAACGCCAGUGGCGAAAGCGGCCUCCUGGACCAUUCCUGACACUCAGACGCGAAAGCUAGGGUAGCAAACGG